AUUCAUUGGGCAUGUAUGAUGACAUCCAUAAGAAAUGGUACAUUACAUGGACCUUUGAUUCAAUGUGCCGUAUCUACCUGGAGAGUCUUCAAGCUAUACAGCUAAUGUCCUGGUCAAAGAUGAAAUCUGAGAUAAUCAUGGAAUAUGGUAAGUAUAAAACCAUUGCUUCUGCUAAGAAAGCGCUUUAUAACUUAACGUGCCGUACAGAUCAAAGCCCCAGAGAAUUUUUAAUAAUUCUUAGAAAUGCAUAUUCCGUGGCCCAGAGGAAACCC